rnacentral:SRP_RNA from 1 species
GCCAGGUGUGGUGGCGCACACCUGCAGUCCCAGCUACUCGGGAGGCUGAGGCAGGAGAAUCGCUUGAACCUGGGAGGUGGAGGUUGCAGUGAGCCGAGAUUGUGCCACUGCACUCCAGCCUGGGUGACAGAGUGAGACUCUGUCUCAA